rnacentral:rRNA from 1 species
AGGGCACCACCAGGAGUGGAGCCUGCGGCUUAAUUUGACUCAACACGGGAAAACUCACCCGGCCCGGACACUGGAAGGAUUGACAGAUUGAGAGCUCUUUCUUGAUUCAGUGGGUGGUGGUGCAUGGCCGUUCUUAGUUGGUGGAGUGAUUUGUCUGGUUAAUUCCGAUAACGAACGAGACUCUAGCCUACUAAAUGGAUAGUCGGCUUACAAACGUCGACUAGACUUCUUAGAGGGACAGGCGGUGAUUCAACCGCACGAAACAGAGCAAUAACAGGUCUGUGAUGCCCUUAGAUGUCCGGGGCCGCACGCGCGCUACACUGAAGUGAUCAGCGUGCUUUUUCAGCCUACUCUGUCAAGAGUGGGAAACCCAAUGAACCUUCUUCUUGAUUGGGAUAGGGGAGUGGAAUUAUUCCUCUUUAACAAAAGAUAUCCCUAAACGCGAGUCCAUACCUCGCGUUUAAUUGUUCCUGCCCCUUGUUACACACCGCCCGUCUUACUACAUUUGAUGGUUUUAUU